AUAUUUUAAAAUAAAUCUAUUUCCUUAAUAUCUUCAAUAUUAUGCUCUAAAUAAGCUAUUAAAAUA
rnacentral:tRNA from 1 species